UGUUUUUGUAGUUGAAUACAACAUUAGUUUUUCAGGCUAAGGGUUUCGGUUAAAAUCCGGAUAAAAAUAA
rnacentral:tRNA from 1 species